GGAGUGUUGGCUCAAUGGUACAGCAACUGUCUUGAAAACAGUCAUUCCGAAAGGAUAUCUGAGUUCAAAUCUCAGGCACUCCG
rnacentral:tRNA from 1 species